AAAGCUUCCUGGACACUUCUAUAAAAGAUGGUCUCUUCUGGAUGUCAUUCUGGAUGUCAUGCCUAGAAUUUCUGCAGUCAUCUUGUGACCAUGAGGGUAGAAUACAGUACAAAUCUAAUAUACCAGAAAUGGCAGAACAUUCAACAAAUGAGGCUAAAACACUUAGAUAUCCAUAUAUACAAAGAAAGAAAAAAAAGAACCUCAACCUUUAACUCAUACCUUACAUAAAAAUUAUUGUGAAAUUGAUCAUAGACCUAAAUCUAAAUACGAGAGCUAAAACUAUAAAACUUUUGAGAGAAAACCUAGGAGAAAGUAUUUAUGAUCUUGGAUUUGGUAAAUCUUUGUAAUCUUUGAUUUUGUGUAAUUUGAAUGUACAAAAAAAGUUGAUGGUGUUUACCAGAGGGAAAGAGGGGAGGGCAAAAGGGGUAAAGGGGCACAUGUGUACAGUGACAAAUGGCAACUAGGCUUUUGAUGGUGAACAAGAUGUAGUUUAUACAGACGUUGAAAUAUAAUGAUGUACACCUGAAAUUUAUGUAAUGUUGUAAACCAACGUUACCUCAAUAAAAAAAAUAAAAAAUUGGGGGGAAAAAAGCUGAAAAUCUAAAAGAAGAAAUUGAUAGAUUAACUUCCUCAAAAUUAAAAGCUUUUGCACUUCAAAAAGCACUGUUAGGAUACCAAGUUUUGGUAAGUAUGUGGAUCCUGGAUGGAUCUCAAAAGCAUGAUGCUAUGUGACAGAAAGAAGACAAAAAAGUCCGUACUAUAUAAUCCCAUUGAAAUUGCCAGGGACAAGUUUAGGGGGAUGGGAUUGACUGCAAAGGGGCUAAAGGGAACUUUUUGGAAUGAUGGAAAUGUUUAAUUUCUUGAUUGUGGUAGUGAUGACAUGAUUAUACAUUUGUCAAACCUCAUUUAAUCGUACACUUAAAAUGUAUGAAUUUCAUUACAUGUAAAUUUUUCCUCAAUAGAACUGACUUAAAAGAAAAGAAUGGCUGAAGAGAAAGAUGGGAAGAACCGGAGUCCUCGAGACCAUUAUUGUAUAUUCAUUCAACUAACCCUGAAGCCGCCAUACUUUUCAUAUUCUUCCAUGGGCUGUUAAGUGUCCCUAUCAUUUAAGCCACUUAGCAUUAUUUUCUAUGUUUCUUGCAGCCAAAAUCUCCCUAACAGAUGAAGUUCAAGCACCAGUGAACUUAAAAUAUUAAUAAAUUUGUACCAAAAAGAUGGGAUCAGAAGAGCAGGUAAACCUGUAUUGAGAAUAUGUGGACGUUUUUUAAGUGUGGGGAUUUAAUGUGGAAUUUUAUGAUUCAGAGCAUAUUGCUGUGUGUAUGUUUCAAGAUGAAAACUGACAGAAUAUAGAAAUAUAAAUUUUGGAACUAGUGAAAGAACAUCUUCUGAAUGAACAUGAUGAGGAACAAGAAAGAAAAGAGAAUCUAGACAUGAAAGCACUGAAGUAUGAGUCAUCAGAAGAGAAAAAAAUAGGGAAAACAAGGUUUUCAAACAACGCUAUUUUGAUAGAUCUUACAGACUAUGAAUGAUUCACCACAAGCACUCGCACACAAAAGGACUUUCUUGGCUGUGUGCCAACUUGUAGGUAUGGCGUGGAUUCUGCUUUUCAAAGGACCAGGUGCUGAAAAAUGCUUACACUGGUUCAAACAAAAAAUAAAAACUUAACCGUUUAGUGAGCAUACUUUACAAGGCCAAGAUCGUUUCAAAUCAAAGUUUUAAAGAUUUUCUUCUUCUUCCUAAGUGAAACAAGGAGAUGCUGAAGAAUUUAAAAAAGGGAAUAACAUGAUACUAUCUACGUUUUAAGGUUACCCUAGCCACUAAUC
rnacentral:lncRNA from 1 species